UACAGAGGUCCCAAGCGUUGUUCGGAUUCAUUGGGCGUAAAGGGUGCGUAGGUGGCGCCGUAAGUCGGGUGUGAAAUCCUGGAGCUCAACUCCAGAACUGCCUUUGAUACUGAAGAUCUUGAGUUCGGGAGAGGUGAGUGGAACUGCGAGUGUAGAGGUGAAAUUCGUAGAUAUUGGGAAGAACACCGGUGGCGAAGGCGGCUCACUGGCUCGUAACUGACGCUCAUGCACGACAGCGUGGGGAUCAAACAGG
rnacentral:rRNA from 1 species